rnacentral:rRNA from 1 species
GUGGGGAAUAUUGGACAAUGGGCGCAAGCCUGAUCCAGCCAUACCGCGUGGGUGAAGAAGGCCUUCGGGUUGUAAAGCCCUUUUGUUGGGAAAGAAAUCCUGCCGGUUAAUAACCAGUAGGGAUGACGGUACCCAAAGAAUAAGCACCGGCUAACUUCGUGCCAGCAGCCGCGGUAAGACGAAGGGUGCAAGCGUUACUCGGAAUUACUGGGCGUAAAGCGUGCGUAGGUGGUUGUUUAAGUCUGUUGUGAAAGCCCUGGGCUCAACCUGGGAAUUGCAAUGGAUACUGGGCGACUAGAGUGUGGUAGAGGACAGUGGAAUUUCCGGUGUAGCAGUGAAAUGCGUAGAGAUCGGAAGGAACAUCUGUGGCGAAGGCGACUGUCUGGGCCAACACUGACACUGAGGCACGAAAGCGUGGGGAGCAA